rnacentral:rRNA from 1 species
CAGUAGCCGCGGGAAUACAGAGGUCCCGAGCGUUGUUCGGAUUCACUGGGCGUAAAGGGUGUGUAGGAGGUUUGGUAAGUCAGGUGUGAAAUCCCGCAGCUUAACUGCGGAACUGCAUUCGAUACUGUUCAACUAGAGGAUCGGAGGGGGAAGCGGAAUUCUUGGUGUAGCGGUGAAAUGCGUAGAUAUCAAGAGGAACACCGGUGGCGAAGGCGGCUUCCUGGAAGAUACCUGACUCUGAAACACGAAAGCCAGGGGAGCGAAUGGGAUUAGAUACCCCGGUAGUCCCUGUCUCUUAUAC